UACGGAGGGUGCAAGCGUUAUCCGGAUUUACUGGGUUUAAAGGGUGCGUAGGUGGGUAGGUAAGUCAGUGGUGAAAUCUUCGAGCUUAACUCGGAAACUGCCAUUGAUACUAUUUAUCUUGAAUUAUCUGGAGGUAAGCGGAAUAUGUCAUGUAGCGGUGAAAUGCUUAGAUAUGACAUAGAACACCCAUUGCGAAGGCAGCUUACUACGGAUAUAUUGACACUGAGGCACGAAAGCGUGGGGAUCAAACAGG
rnacentral:rRNA from 1 species